rnacentral:rRNA from 1 species
UACAGAGGGUGCGAGCGUUGUCCGGAAUCACUGGGCGUAAAGGGCGCGUAGGCGGUGACUUAAGCGUGUGGUGAAAACUCGGGGCUUAACCCCGGGCCUGCAGUGGGUACGGGCAGACUAGAGUGCGGUAGGGGAGACUGGAAUUCCUGGUGUAGCGGUGAAAUGCGUAGAUAUCGGGAGGAACACCAGUGGCGAAGGCGAGUCUCUGGGAUGAUGCUGACGCUGAGGCGCGAAAGCCAGGGGAGCAAACGGG